UUGAACGCUGGCGGCAGGCCUAACACCUGCAAGUCGAGCGGAUGAAGGGAGCUUGCUCCUGGCUUCAGCGGCGGACGGGUGAGUAAUGCCUAGGAAUCUGCCUGGUAGUGGGGGAUAACGUCCGGAAACGGGCGCUAAUACCGCAUACGUCCUGAGGGAGAAAGUGGGGGAUCUUCGGACCUCACGCUAUCAGAUGAGCCUAGGUCGGCUUAGCUAGUUGGUGGGGUAAAGGCCUACCAAGGCGACGAUCCGUAACUGGUCUGAGAGGAUGAUCAGUCACACUGGAACUGAGACACGGUCCGGACUCCUACGGGAGGCAGCAGUGGGGAAUAUUGGACAAUGGGCGAAAUCCUGAUCCAGCCAUGCCGCGUGUGUGAAGAAGGUCUUCGGAUUGUAAAGCACUUUAAGUUGGGAGGAAGGGCAGUAAGUUAAUACCUUGCUGUUUUGACGUUACCAACAGAAUAAGCACCGGCUAACUUCGUG
rnacentral:rRNA from 1 species